GGAGAGGUGCCAGAGUGGUAAUGGAGCAGAUUGCUAAUCUGUCAACGCGUAAGUGUUGCCUGGGUUCGAAUCCCAGUCUCUCCGCAA
rnacentral:tRNA from 1 species